AACGCUAGAGCGGUGGACUGCGAAUACACAGGUUCAUGGUUCGAGUCCCGGC
rnacentral:tRNA from 1 species